rnacentral:rRNA from 1 species
AGUGAACGCUGGCGGCAGGCCUAACACAUGCAAGUCGAGCGGCAGCGGGUCCUUCGGGAUGCCGGCGAGCGGCGGACGGGUGAGGAAUACAUCGGAAUCUGCCCUGUCGUGGGGGAUAACCUAGGGAAACUUAGGCUAAUACCGCAUACGACCUACGGGUGAAAGCGGGGGAUCGCAAGACCUCGUGCGACAGGAUGAGCCGAUGUCCGAUUAGCUAGUUGGCGGGGUAAAGGCCCACCAAGGCGACGAUCGGUAGCUGGUCUGAGAGGAUGAUCAGCCACACUGGGACUGAGACACGGCCCAGACUCCUACGGGAGGCAGCAGUGGGGAAUAUUGGACAAUGGGCGCAAGCCUGAUCCAGCCAUGCCGCGUGGGUGAAGAAGGCCUUCGGGUUGUAAAGCCCUUUUGUCCGGGAAGAAAUCGUCUGGGCUAAUACCCCGGGCGGAUGACGGUACCGGAAGAAUAAGCACCGGCUAACUUCGUG